rnacentral:rRNA from 1 species
GUAGUUAGCCGGGGCUUCCUCCUUGGCUACCAUCUUCUUCUUUUCACCAAGGACAUAAGUUUACGAUCCGAAAACCUUCUUCCUUCACGCGGCGUUGCUGGGUCAGGCUUGCGCCCAUUGCCCAAUAUUCCCCACUGCUGCCUCCCGCAGGAGUCUGGACCGUAUCUCAGUUCCAGUGUGGCCGAUCAGCCUCUCAGCUCGGCUACCCAUCGUCGACUUGGUGGGCCGUUACCCCGCCAACUAUCUAAUGGGACGCGAACCCCUCUUAUACCGGAUUGCUCCUUUGACCUCAUCCCGAUGUCAGGUCGUGGUCUUAUGCGGUAUUAGCAACCGUUUCCGAUUGUUAUCCCCCUGUAUAAGGCAGGUUGUUCACGCGUUACUCACCCGUUCGCCACUAAGUUAUCAACCGAAAUCAAUAACUCCGUUCGACUUGCAUGUGUUAGGCACGCCGCCAGCGUUCGUCCUGAACCAAGAUCAAAUUCUGA